rnacentral:sRNA from 19 species
GAGCCAUGAGGCUGCAUGGAGGGCUGGCAUGCUUUAUGCGGCGGAGCCAUCGUGGGGUUUGAUAAAUAACCACAAACCAGCUAGGAUUUCCGAAAGAAAAUUAUCCAAG